CUUUCUUAAUAGCUAAUCAGUCUUUAGGCUGGUUUCACACGAAAAUACGAUUUGUACUUCUUACUUUAUUUGCUAGUGUUUGAAAGAUGUUUGCUCUUCACUUGCAUUUAUGCUCUUUGCUGAACAGCAACAUGCUUUUGCUUGUCCUCUGUUUUCUUAUACAUCCAGGAGCUUGUUUCUUGGUUCUUUCUUAUGUUAAUUCGCUUAGAAACACCAAUUGAUGCAAUUCCAAUGCAUCAUGAAGCUGCAAGAAUCGCUUCACAUGGUGUGUUAGUAUUCUACCAUGCAUAAAUUGGUCAACGGGGGGAAUCUUGGUUUUACUUUUGCCACCAAGUAGAUUAUAGAUAUCCAGCCUGUUGAUUAUUCUGUAGUACAUUAUUUGACACAGUACCAAGUAGAAACAUUUUUGGUUAAGAGGUAACUGCUCUCCUUGUGCAAAAAUCCUUGGGCCGGAUGACACCAUGGUAAAUUUCCCCAAAAAUUACACCAUCACAAUCUAGUACAGUAGUUGCCUAACAUCACGGAUAAAAUGGAUCACACUAGUUGUGAGGAUAACCAACUGACAUGAAGGAGUAUAUGAUGUUAAAAACAACAUUAGAACAAUCAUGAGAUUAUUACACCACUUUUGGCUCGAGGUAAAAAACCCCAAAAAUAUGGACUGUAAGAGCGAUUUGCAUCUGAUGUUCUUGUUCACGAUUAGUAUUAUUUUUUGGCCGUAGUGGACGAGCAGUUCGCAAGUUGCCUGGCCAGCAGCAGCUUUGAUUUACGUGCAUGGCAAGAACAAAUGGCGCCCUACCAAGUCAAGCAAGAGCAAGCACACAUCGUUAAUCAUCGUCAUCGUCUUUACGUUUCGUUCUGGGUGGCAGAGAGGCCGGAGGCGGACGUGGUGGUGAUCGGGAGCGGGCUCGGGGGGCUCUGCUGUGCGGGGCUCCUGGCGAGGUACGGGUAGGACGUGGCGGUGAUCGGGAGCGGGCUCGGGGGGCUCUUCUCCGGCUUCUAGUCCAGAGGGCCCCAAGACAACCCCCUCACCCAGGUCCGUCACCCUCCAUUGGUUCGGUUCCUCUCCUGCAAACAACAACAGAGCAGAGAACAGGGAGAUUCUUUCAGACAAAUUAACUGUCCGAAGUCUGAACUGAACUUAUCAACAGAACAGGAUUGCCAGUUCUACAUGCAGAAUUGCGCAGAUUCGUGAUGAAACCGUCCGGUUCAGGAGCAGCAGAACCGGGCGAGGACGGCCACGACCAAGAACCGGCCCAUGAGCGCUCCUACGCCCCCUCCAAUGGAGCCGGACCCGCGGUGGCGGAGACGAGGGAGGCGCCCAACUCAUCUGGACUGGAGUGCGUUCCUGAGCGUUUCUUGGUUUCCUCUUGCGCAGUUCAACUCGUUGCGCACGGGAGAGGCAAUGCAGAGGAAGGAACGGGACCUCCAGGCCUAAGAAAGUUGAAGUGCGAAGCCUUGAAGCCAAUUGUGUGAAGCUCUACUUAUCCAAGAAUGAAUAUUAUAUAUUGUAAUAAUAAACAUAUCUGCUUUGUAAUAGAUUGGAAAAAUUGUAAUAUACUACCUUUGUGUUAAUUUGAUGAAUUUCACAUGUCC